rnacentral:rRNA from 1 species
UACGUAGGGUGCGAGCGUUAAUCGGAAUUACUGGGCGUAAAGCGUGCGCAGGCGGUCUCGUAAGCUGGGUGUGAAAGCCCCGGGCUUAACCUGGGAACGGCAUUCAGGACUGCGAGGCUCGAGUGUGGCAGAGGGAGGUGGAAUUCCACGUGUAGCAGUGAAAUGCGUAGAGAUGUGGAGGAACACCGAUGGCGAAGGCAGCCUCCUGGGCCAGCACUGACGCUCAUGCACGAAAGCGUGGGGAGCAAACAGG